CAGUAGCCGCGGUAACACGAGGGGGGCAAGCGUUGUUCGGAAUUAUUGGGCGUAAAGGGCGCGUAGGCGGUUUGACAAGUCUGAUGUGAAAUCUCUGGGCUCAACCCAGAGUCUGCAUCGGAAACUGUCGAGCUUGAGUAUGGGAGAGGUGAGUGGAAUUUCCGGUGUAGCGGUGAAAUGCGUAGAUAUCGGAAGGAACACCUGUGGCGAAAGCGGCUCACUGGACCAUUACUGACGCUGAGGCGCGAAAGCUAGGGGAGCAAACAGGAUUAGAUACCCGCGUAGUCCCUGUCUCUUAUAC
rnacentral:rRNA from 1 species